rnacentral:tRNA from 1 species
AUAUUGGUGGCUCAGUGGUUGAAUUCUCGCCUCGUGUGUGGGAGACCUGGGUUCAAUUCCCAGCCAAUACA